UACGUAGGUCCCGAACGUUGUCCGGAUUUAUUGGGCGUAAAGCGAGCGCAGGUGGUUUAUUAAGUCUGGUGUAAAAGGCAGUGGCUCAACCAUUGUAUGCAUUGGAAACUGGUAGACUUGAGUGCAGGAGAGGAGAGUGGAAUUCCAUGUGUAGCGGUGAAAUGCGUAGAUAUAUAGAGGAACACCGGUGGCGAAAGCGGCUCUCUGGCCUGUAACUGACACUGAGGCUCGAAAGCGUGGGGAGCAAACAGG
rnacentral:rRNA from 1 species